rnacentral:rRNA from 1 species
UACAGAGGGGGCAAGCGUUGUUCGGAAUUACUGGGCGUAAAGGGCGCGUAGGCGGUUCGGCAAGUCUCUAGUGAAAUCUCUGGGCUCAACUCAGAGUCUGCUGGGGAAACUGCCGGGCUUGAGUCGUCGGGAGAGGAUCGUGGAAUUCUCGGUGUAGAGGUGAAAUUCGUAGAUAUCGAGAGGAACACCGGUGGCGAAGGCGGCGAUCUGGACGGAUGACUGGACGCUGAGACGCGAAAGCGUGGGGAGCAAACAGG